CACAAGAGAAGGACCUUCACAGCACUGGCACAGGAAGACGCCAUCAUCAUCAUCACCAGAAAAACCUCAUCAGAAAACCAUUUCCCCCUCAUCCUCAACCCUCAACAAUCUUAAAAUUGCUACACACAACACUGGAACACACUGUGCUGUCACGCUUCACGCUAAGAAACCCAUUAGAGGGAGAGCCGGGGAGGGAACCAAUCUUCACUGCUCCUACCGGUUGCUGUCAGCGGCGGCGACAUCCGAAUCCUCUGACGACAGCAGUUUCGAGUUCGAGAAGAAAAAAAGGGUUCGUGUGAUAUCUUCGGAGAAGGUCGGUGUCGCCGGUAAUGGUGUGACGACGAACCUCUACGGCCACGUAUGGUAGCGGUUCGGUGGCUGGCCCUGGUGGCGGUGGAGGGUGCGGCGCGCAAAGAGGAGAAAGCUUCCUCGGGCUGACGUUUCCCUCGUUGGCAAUGUUGCCGGUGUGGCCUUAGCCAGCCAUGGAGGAGGCGAGUGGGGACGACCAUCUUGGAAGCUAGAACGGCCUUCGGUGGCCGGCGGUGGAAAUGGCCUCUCUCGGUUUUCGCUCAGAUGGGAUUGGGUCUCCUUGUGUUGAAUGCACAGAAUGGGGACAAUCUGAUAGAACCCCAAUUUUUGAAAUUAGGUUAAGAGGCUUUGGGCUUGUCUGGUGGGCCGGAUCCUCUUUCUGGCGACACACAAAUCAUAUUCGCACCCCCUGCAGACAAAGGAAGAAAAAGGGCUUUGGGCCUGGCUAUUGGGCGCGCCCUCUCCUCCUGUCACCACACACAACUCUGUUCGCACCCCACCUCUUUCUGCAAACAAAGAGGCCUUAAGCCUGACCAGCGAAUAUCCAGUGGCACCCCCCAACUUUACAGCUGCACCCCUGUCUUUGGGCCUGGACAGGUUAUUUCGAGCUGCACCCCCAUUUUGGCCAUACACCCCUAACAGGCUACAAGACCAGAAGCUUCAGUAUUUUAUUCAGC
rnacentral:lncRNA from 1 species